rnacentral:rRNA from 1 species
GAUGAACGCUGGCGGCGUGCCUAAUACAUGCAAGUCGAGCGAACAGAUGAGGAGCUUGCUCCUCUGACGUUAGCGGCGGACGGGUGAGUAACACGUGGAUAACCUACCUAUAAGACUGGGAUAACUUCGGGAAACCGGAGCUAAUACCGGAUAAUAUAUUGAACCGCAUGGUUCAAUAGUGAAAGACGGUUUUGCUGUCACUUAUAGAUGGAUCCGCGCCGCAUUAGCUAGUUGGUAAGGUAACGGCUUACCAAGGCAACGAUGCGUAGCCGACCUGAGAGGGUGAUCGGCCACACUAGAACUGGGACACGGUCAAGACUCCUACGGGAGGCAGCAGUAGGGAGUCUUCCGCAAUGGGCGAAAGCCUGACGGGGCAACGCCGCGUGAGUGAUGAAGGUCUUCGGAUCGUAAAACUCUGUUAUUAGGGAAGAACAAAUGUGUAAGAAACUAUGCACGUCUUGACGGUACCUAAUCAGAAAGCCACGGCAAACUAC